rnacentral:rRNA from 1 species
GGGCCCGCACAAGCGGUGGAGCAUGUGGCUUAAUUCGAUGCAACGCGAAGAACCUUACCUGGGCUCGAACGCUAUCUGACAGACCCUGAAAGGGGUCCUUCUUCGGACGGAUAGUGAGGUGCUGCAUGGCUGUCGUCAGCUCGUGUCGUGAGAUGUUGGUUAAGUCCCGCAACGAGCGCAACCCCUAUUACUAGUUACCAGCACGUUAUGGUGGGGACUCUAGUGAGACUGCCUGCGCAAGCAGUGAGGAAGGUGGGGACGACGUCAAGUCAUCAUGGCCCUUAUGCCCAGGGCUGCACACGUGCUACAAUGGUCGGUACAAUGGGCUGCCACCUCGCGAGAGGAG